GCAGCGGUAGCUCAGCGGUUAAAACGUUAGAUUACUGAUCGGAAGGUCAUGAGUUCAAUUCCUAGCACCACCA